rnacentral:rRNA from 1 species
UCGAGGGGCAGCAUCAUCAAAGCUUGCUUUGAUGGAUGGCGACCGGCGCACGGGUGAGUAACACGUAUCCAACCUGCCGACAACACUGGGAUAGCCUUUCGAAAGAAAGAUUAAUACCGGAUGGCAUAGUUUUCCCGCAUGGGAUAAUUAUUAAAGAAUUUCGGUUGUCGAUGGGGAUGCGUUCCAUUAGGCAGUUGGCGGGGUAACGGCCCACCAAACCCACGAUGGAUAGGGGUUCUGAGAGGAAGGUCCCCCACAUUGGAACUGAGACACGGUCCAAACUCCUACGGGAGGCAGCAGUGAGGAAUAUUGGUCAAUGGACGAGAGUCUGAACCAGCCAAGUAGCGUGAAGGAUGACUGCCCUAUGGGUUGUAAACUUCUUUUAUACGGGAAUAAAGUGAGCCACGUGUGGCUUUUUGUAUGUACCGUAUGAAUAAGGAUCGGCUAACUCCGUGCCAGCAGCCGCGGUAAUACGGAGGAUUCGAGCGUUAUCCGGAUUUAUUGGGUUUAAAGGGAGCGUAGGCGGGUUGUUAAGUCAGUUGUGAAAGUUUGCGGCUCAACCGUAAAAUUGCAGUUGAUACUGGCGACCUUGAGUGCAACAGAGGUAGGCGGAAUUCGUGGUGUAGCGGUGAAAUGCUUA